UACAGAGGGUGCAAGCGUUAAUCGGAGUUACUGGGCGUAAAGGGCGCGUAGGCGGUUAUAUAAGUGAGUUGUGAAAGCCCUGGGCUUAACCUAGGAACUGCAACUUAUACUGUGUAGCUAGAGUAUUGUAGAGGGUAGUGGAAUUUCCGGUGUAGCGGUGAAAUGCGUAGAGAUCGGAAGGAACACCAGUGGCGAAGGCGGCUACCUGGACAAAUACUGACGCUGAGGCGCGAAAGCGUGGGGAUCAAACAGG
rnacentral:rRNA from 2 species